CCAGAGAUGGCGGGCCCCCGCGCCCCCGUCCCCAACCCUUUGUUGACCAACCACUUUUGCCUCGGGGGUGGAGCGGCCUCCGCCGCCCCCGGUGGACCAACCAACUCUGUCUUUUUACGUCGGAGUCUUUGAUAAAUACAUAA
rnacentral:misc_RNA from 1 species